CCUACGGGAGGCAGCAGUGGGGAAUAUUGCACAAUGGGCGCAAGCCUGAUGCAGCAACGCCGCGUGACGGACGACGGCCUUCGGGUUGUAAACCUCUUUUAGUAGGGAAGAAGCGAAUGUGACGGUACCUGCAGAAAAAGCACCGGCUAACUACGUGCCAGCAGCCGCGGUAAU
rnacentral:rRNA from 1 species